GUGUGGAUUACACGUUUUUAGUUAAGGCAAAGUUUAAUUUUAGCUUGGAAUUUGGCUGUUUUAUUUAUUUAUAUGCAAUUUAUUAUGAUUAAGAGGGUCUUAUAAAGAUGGAAAAAGGCAGUAUGUAUAAUUAAGAAUUAGAGAAAUCUAGACUUAGAAAUUAUUGUGUAGCACAGACUUAAUUUGUGCCAGCAGUUGCGGUUACACAAAUUGUGCAGGUCAAAUUUAUUUAAUUAAAUUAAAUGUUAAAUAUGGGUAAUAGAGUAAGUUCAAAUUUAUUAGGUGAAAUUUUAAAUUUGAUUUUUCUAUUUAAGUGUUUUUGAAGUUGGGAAAUUUCUUUUUAGACUAGGAUUAGAUACCCUAUUAUUAGAAAAGUUAUAUCAAAGUUAAAAUUACUAAUAGUUAUGAUCUUUAAAAUUAAAGAAUUUGGCGGUAUUUUAGUCUAUUCAGAGGAACCUGUUUUAUAAUUGAUAAUCCACGAUUAGUUUACUUUAAUCUAAGUUUGUAUAUCGCCGUAGUAGAAUAUUUUAGUAGAUAGAAAUGUUCAAGGAAUUAAUUAAAUAGAAUUCAGGUCAAGGUGCAGUUUAUUUGAAGGAAAAAUGGGUUACAUUGUAUUUAUAGUUGGUCUUUAUAUUUGGAAAGUUUUAGUAAAUUGGAUUUGAUAGUAAUUUUUUUUAUAUUAUUAGAAUGAUUAUGCUCUAAAAUAUGCACAUAUCGCCCGUCGCUUUCACUUAAGGUGAAAUAAGUCGUAACAUAGUAGGUCUAUUGGAAAAUGGACCUGGAAUG
rnacentral:ncRNA from 1 species